rnacentral:tRNA from 1 species
GGGCCCGUAGCUCAGGGGUUAGAGCACCACUCUUAUAAGGUGGCCGUCGGUGGUUCGAUUCCACCCGGGCCUA